CUUUAAUGAAUGGUGAAUGUAAAUGCAUUCAAUUUUUGAUAUAAUGUAAACUCAUAAUUUUAAAUUAAGUUAUCAAAAAAAAAAAAUCAUAAAAUUGGCAAUCUUAUAACAAAACAAGUUAUCAAACUUGGUGAUAAUUAGUCUGCGACUAUAGAUAAGUCAAUAGUCAAUAAUUGUAAACACAUAAAUAGAUAUGGUGUUUAUCCCUUACUACUUACUUUAAAAACUAAUACAGCUACAGAGUUAUGUGUGUAUAUUUACUAUUAAAAACAACUCUUGGUAUCUACAUAUUUUUUUUAAUUUGAUAAUUUAAUAAUAAAAUAUUUAUUAAUAGCUUAUAAAUUUAUAAAACCAAGCAAGAUAAAAGACAAGUCAAUAUAUUAAAGCACAAUAAUUUUGAUUUGUUAAUUAAAAACAAGUUAAGUGAUGAAUUUAAUAUUUAUCAGUGAAAAAUGUUAAAUAUAAAUUACAAAUAAAUACAUAUAAGUGAAAUUUUUUUUUUAUAAGAAAAUCACAAUCUGUGAUACAAUAAGCAAAUAUUAUAAUAAUUUUAUUGUUCAUUAUAUGAAGAACUAUAUUGUUGAAAAUACUCAGUGGUGCUACCCGUUAGCUUAAGCGAUAUCUUUUCUGUAGUAUUAACAUGAAAUUGACAAAUAUAAUAAGUAUAACAGAUUUGUUUGAAUGCGUUUUGUUUUUUAACUCCGAAAUGGAAAUCGGAAUAGGAUUUUUCAAUAGGAAUUUUCCAAAUACUGAAAUUUAGACAAAUUCGAUGUUUUAAUGGUACAUUUCUCAAAAAGAAACAUUUUUUCUGAGAAAGCAAGUAUUUUGACCAAUUAAGAUUUGUAGAGCCUGUUGUAGUACAAGAAAAAUUAUUUUUACAGAUAUUAUGGUUUCUGAAAAUAGUGUGGAAUGAUCUAAUGACAUUAAAAACAAAUGAUUAGAAUACUGAACUAGAUUACAAAAAUUAAGUACGUUAAAUAAUUCGUCAAAAUAAAACUAAUAUUAUAGAAAUUCACAUAUGAGAUGCACCAAGAAAUGCGGACAGCGCACAUCAAAGUUAAUUUGCGCGAAAUCCAAAGUGGUGCCAUUAAAGUCAAUUAAUUUAUACCUCGCCUUGAAUUAUUACUCAAAUAUUAUUAUUUUCCCACCUAUCGCAUAGAAUUGUAAUGAAUGGAUAACCACACUAACUAUCAAAUAGAAAAUACUCGUGUCCCAUAGAGCAGGAGAAAUUUAACAGCUCACUUAUCAACUAGGUUGGUUUCAUAUAUAGACGCUUGAAAACCCAAAGAAUUUAGUAUCAUGUGGUUGUAGUGCUGAACUAAUAGGUUACAUGGAGAAGUGGUGAGAUGGUCUUAGUUAGUUAGGUAUAACUAUUGACAAACUAGUUUUCAUCAUCGAAUAAAAUGGUACGGAUAAUAGUCUAUUGCAUUCGAUUUAUAGAUACAAAAGUAAAAAAUUAGUAGAAAAGAUAGGAAUAUUAAAAAACACCGAUAAUGUAAACGGUUAAAAUACAGAAAUGGAUUACAAAAGUACAUCAAAGUACACCGAAAAAUAAUUUGACAAAAUAAAACUAUUAUUAAAGAAGUUCAAAAAUUGUGCAAACUAUCAUUUUUAUAACUAUUAUUUUUUCUAUUGACAAAAAAUUUAAUGAAGCAUGCUUUAGAAAACAUUUAUGUCAACAUAUACAAUUCAGACGAUGCAUUUAAGUUAACAUUAUAUUUUUAAUAAAAAGCUAAAAUGAUAAUUUAUAAUUUUUUUUAAAUUUUAAACAAAUUGGAAAAAAAAUGGAAAUAUUAAAAUUUUGUACCGGAUUAUAUAAAAUAUGAUUAUUAAAAUUAUGAACUAAAUUUAAUUAAAAAAGCCUAAAAAGUACUCAAUGGUCGGCAAUAAUUUGUUGAAAUGAAGUAAAAUAAAUUGCUUUAACUUAAUAUAAACGAAUUAUUGUGGAAAUAACGAAAAAUAUUAGGGCUUAUUUUUACAAUAACAAAGGGUAAUGUAAUAUAUGUUAUAAUUAUGUAGUUUAUUUAUUAUGUUUAUGAUUUUUAAACACUUACUUGCUUAUGAUUAGUUAAGUAGAACAUAAAUAUUUUAGUAUGAGUAAUCUGAAUUGUCGGGUUGUCAAUCGGCACGAUGUUUGCAAUGAUUUUAUUUUUGAAAUUUGCAUUAUAGAAUAUUAAAAUAUUACAUUGUGUCUUUUUUUAACUUAACCUUGUAUGUAUGUCCAUCUGUUAUCCUUGCCGUAUAGAAUAUCACUAAUUAGUGCAUAGUACAUUUUUAUAGCUAAUUUACCUGUCAUAUCUUAAUCAAUAAAAUUUGGUUUAUGCAAGAACAAAUAAAAAUAAUGGCUUCUGUAUUUAAUACAGUAAAAUGACAAUAGAAAUUUGGCCUAAAAUCACUGAACCUUAACAAGCUGUAACGGACGAACGGUUAAUCGGAUAAAAAAAAUUAUAAGAACAAAAUUGUAUGAAAUUAAUUUUUCUAUCACAUUAUAAAGUUAAAAAUAAGUGUUCCCAUUUAAGAAAAUUAUAAAUAAGGGUUUUAUCCUUGAAGGGACGAAAAAAUAAUGGCUUGACUACAUAUUAUUGUAGAGUUUUUUGAACUUGAUAUUUUUUUUCUAUAAUAAAAUUUAAAAUUCUCAAUAUUUUCUGA